UUACUUGACGGGUAAAUCCUGUUACGUUCCUUGGGUGUUUCCUUCCAUCGGUUGGCACUAAGCCUAGGGGUUUGAGCGUAAUAGGGGCCGUCAUUUU
rnacentral:sRNA from 12 species